rnacentral:rRNA from 1 species
AGAGUUUGAUCAUGGCUCAGAUUGAACGCUGGCGGCACGCCUUACACAUGCAAGUCGAACGGCAGCACGGGUGCUUGCACCUGGUGGCGAGUGGCGAACGGGUGAGUAAUGUAUCGGAACGUACCAUUCAGUGGGGGAUAACUAUCCGAAAGGAUAGCUAAUACCGCAUAUUCUGUGAGCAGGAAAGCAGGGGAUCGCAAGACCUUGCGCUGAUUGAGCGGCCGAUAUCAGAUUAGCUAGUUGGUGGGGUAAAAGCCUACCAAGGCGACGAUCUGUAGCGGGUCUGAGAGGAUGAUCCGCCACACUGGAACUGAGACACGGUCCAGACUCCUACGGGAGGCAGCAGUGGGGAAUUUUGGACAAUGGGCGAAAGCCUGAUCCAGCCAUGCCGCGUGAGUGAAGAAGGCCUUCGGGUUGUAAAGCUCU